CGGCUGGCGACAUCAGUGAUCAGUGGCCAGCAAGCUUCGAUCGGGGGAAGACGUGUGCAUCGUCGGCGGAGCGCGGCUCGAUCUCCCGUCGCGGCUACGCGAAAGACUCGCUCCUUUAUUUCCUCCCUUUCCCUCUGUCUCCGCUGGGCGCGAGUGUGUGUGUCUCUCUCCUUCUCCUCCUCCUCUCUCUUUUUCGUCCAUCUGUCGCUAUCUGUCACCUCUUCCCUCCCCCUCGUUUCCGCGGCGUGUGUCGUCGCGCGUGUGUUGUCGUCGGCUCCAUCGGUCGGAGAGAGAAAACGUUCUCCCCGUCGCGUGUGACUCCCGGGUAGCUUUGGUGUUCUUGGUGCUGCGCUUCCCGUCCCGCGUGUGCUCCGGGCAAGAGAGAGAGAGAGAGAGAGAGAGAGGUUUUAGCUGCGCGAGAAGGCGAUUAGCCACGCAGUGGCAAAACGACAGUGGCGGCUCUCUCGCGGGGGGAGAGAGAGCCCGUGCGUGGCGUGCGUGCAUACGUGCGUGCGGGCGGGCGGGCGGACGGGCGGACGCAUCGAGGGAAUAUCAUCGGGGUCCCGACAACGGCGACAACCGGCCACCGUUUUCCGGAGCGACCGCGACCACGGCUACCUCGCGUCGCGUUCCCAUCGUCGUCGCGUCGUCUCCUCCUCCGCUCUCCUCCAACGCCACGACGUUUCCUUCGCGUCUCGGAUGUUCCGCGCGACAUCCAGGAGGCAAUCCCGACGACGACGUUGGUUAUGAGACUCGCCGUCGCCGAGUGCGACUGACGGACGCGGCGCGGCGGAGAGAGUGCGGGAACGGACCGUGAUUGGAAUAACGAUACGAUUGAAGUGCGUACGUUUGUUGUGUGUGCGCGUGUGUGUGUAUGUGUGUGUACUACGUGCGUGCGUGCGUGCGUGCGCGCGUGAAUGGAUGCGUGCGCCCGACGUAACCUAACCUAACCUUACCGUCGCCUGUAGCGCGCUGCAAGUGCCGUUCCCUGUCACGCUCGCGAUAUCGCGCGCGACGGAAGGGGGUGUGUGUAUAUACAUGCGGAUGUGCUGCGCGUGUACUCCCAUCGGGAUUGCGGAGACAGGCUGCUGCUCUUCGGGAUCGGAAUCUGCAGACACGGCGAUAAUAUAACGGAAGCGCGGUGCGCCGGAGGAGGGGGAGCGGCAGCAGGACAGGUGGAGGACGACACGUCGUCUCUCUCUUAUCUCUCGGCGCGUCGUCGCGUAUCGCGCGCGUGUAGUAUCCUCCGGGUUGUGAGUGCGAUAGUGCGAGGAAGAGCAACGGAGCGACGGCGACGCGCGUCGUCGUCGUCUGGACGCUGACACCUGGCGCUGACCAACGCUCGAGAAGAGAAGAGGAGAGGAACAAUGACGCUCGCCGCGUGAGUGAUCCACCAGCAGCGCCGAUCGUACGUGUGGCUGCUCAUCGACCGCGAUCAUCAAACUCCACGGCGCAACGACGAUAACGGUGGCUCGCUCCGUCGUGCAGAGGACGAGGAGGCGCGGCCCGUGAAGUGGGGGCGAACGGGGCCAGCAAGUGCUUUGAUGGCAGUGGUUGGGCCCAGCCGGCACUCGCGGGUGUCCAUGAGCGUGUCCAUACCGCUGAUGCAGGGCGGCGGGGCGGGGGCGACCGGCGCCGGCGGCGGGGGCGCCGGUGCCGCCGCAGCCGCCGCCGCCGCCGCAGCCGCCGGGGCCCAUCCGGGCCAGGCGGUCCUCGCCGCCGCCGCUGCCGCUGCGGCCGCGGCUCAGGCGGCGCCCCCCACUUACUACCACCCCGCGGCACCUGCACCCCCGCCCCCGCCGCCCGCCCAGGAUCCCGUCCAGCCGGACCGACCUAUUGGUUACGGGGCCUUCGGCGUCGUCUGGGCUGUCACGGAUCCGAGGGAUGGUAGGAGAGUAGCCUUAAAAAAACUGCCGAACGUCUUUCAAAGUCUCGUGAGCAGCAAGCGAGUCUUCAGGGAGCUGAAAAUGCUUUGCUUCUUCAAACACGAUAACGUCCUUUCCGCGCUGGAUAUCCUUCAGCCACCGCAUCUGGACUUCUUCCAAGAGAUAUACGUGAUCACCGAGCUGCUCCAGAGCGACUUACACAAGAUCAUCGUGAGUCCACAGCAUCUCAGCCCGGACCACAUCAAGGUCUUCCUUUAUCAGAUCCUACGAGGCCUCAAGUACCUUCACUCGGCCCGAAUUCUCCACAGGGACAUCAAGCCCGGGAACCUCCUAGUGAACAGCAAUUGCGUACUGAAAAUCUGUGAUUUCGGGUUGGCUCGGGUGGCGGAGCCCGACCAGAACGUCCACAUGACCCAGGAAGUGGUGACACAGUAUUAUCGCGCACCGGAAAUCCUGAUGGGCGCGCGACACUACACCGCUGCGGUGGACGUGUGGAGCGUCGGCUGUAUCUUCGGCGAGCUUCUACGCCGGCGGAUCCUCUUCCAGGCCCAAAGUCCCGUUCAACAGCUCGAAUUGAUUACGGAGCUACUAGGUUCGCCCACUCUCGAGGAGAUGAGGUAUGCGUGCGAGGGCGCGAAGUCCCAUAUGCUGAGAAGGGCGCACAAGCCGCCGUCGCUCGCGACUCUGUAUAAUCUUAGCAGCCAGGCGACGCACGAGGCCGUCCACUUGCUCUGCCAGAUGCUAGUCUUCGAUCCCGACAAGAGGAUCACUGUGGUGGACGCCCUGGCGCAUCCUUAUCUGGACGAGGGACGGCUGCGAUAUCAUUCGUGCAUGUGCACAUGCUGUUACACGACGAGCGCCGGUAUGAGACAGUACAGGGUGGAUUUUGAGCCCUCGGCCGCCCAUCCGUUCGACGAUCUCUGGGAGCGAAAGCUCACGAGCGUGCAGCAGGUGAAAGAGGAGAUGCAUAAAUUUAUAGCGGAGCAGUUGAACACGUCGCGAGUGCCGCUCUGCAUUAAUCCGCAGUCCGCGGCGUUCAAGAGCUUCGCGAGUUAGAGCAAGCCGAUCGCCGAACCAGCGCCCUGUGCCGCGUAUACGUACACGUUACUACUACCACUACCGACUCAGCUAUCUACCACUGUCAGCUACUAUCGACUACUACCGCUAUCGUCUACUACUACUACCACUACCACUACUACUACUACCAAUCGUGUUACGCCUCCUCCUGAACGAACCGAACGAACCGAGAGUCAGCUAUAGUCGGCGCGACCUCGCUCGCAGAGCUCCACGGUGGCUCACCCCUCGGAAUUGCCACCCUCUCCACACCAGUGGGAAUAAAAAGUCUUCCCCGUUCCCGUUCCCGAGAUAGACCGACCGUCAGGCUCGAGGGUGACGACUCCGCGUUCCAAGAAGAAAGGAGGAUCUUCGCCGACCGGAAGAUAGUAAGUCACCGAUAACAAGAAGAAAGAAAAGGAGGAAGAGGAAAACGGGGAACUGGAAGCUGCGGAGAGAAGAGCCAAGAGAGACAAUAGACUGCCGCACACUGUAGCCUCAAUUUUCGACUAGCUGAUACAUAUACAUGCAUGGAAUAUCGCGCGAGGGAUGCGUAGAAAAAUGGUAGCAGAUUUCGAUCCGAGGAAUUUGGAGAAUUUACUCUUGAAGAGUUUAUUCUUCGAUUUAUCUCAGAAAUGCAUUUGUCAACGACGCUAGAAAUGAUUUCAAUUAUCCGUGCCAUUCCUUUUUAAACUUAAAUAUAUUUUUCGUACGAGGUGCUAAAUUGUUUCAGCACUUAUAACAAUUUGAUAUAAAAUUUUCUUUUAGAAAUGCAUUUCUAGAUACUUUUUUCUAGAUCUUUCCCUGACGAGCUUUCUCCUUGGAACUUUCAAUCGUAAUUUAAUUAAAAAAUUAUUUAAUGAUGACAUUGAUGGGCAAGUAAACAAUAAGGUUCUGUUUUAUGAUAUUCGAAUUUAGAUUUACAUGUUAAACAAAAAAAAUUUAGUAGUUUACUACAUUUGUCUUAAAUAUGGUACAUGAAAUAUCGUGAUUAUUUACAGAACUUUAAUGAUGCUUACAAGAUUUGAAAAAAAAAAAAAAA